rnacentral:tRNA from 1 species
CGCUAAGAAGCUAAAACUGGUCUUCAGCGUUAGCCUUUUAAGCUAAAGAUUGGUGCUUACCAACCACCCUCAGCGA